UAUUGUGCUGUGAACAGGAAUAGUAGCAUUUUAAGCAAAUUAAGAGAGCUGUUGGCUGGUGGAAAACAGUAUUUGCAAAGUGUGAACUCGCCUGGGAGCAUACUUGCAAAAAAGCAAGUACGGUAAACCCGUUAUCUUAAUAAGUGAGACUUACAUAAUAUUUUUAUGUUUUGUCUAAUUAGAGUGGUACCGCGGAAUUUUAUCUUUCGUCUCUUUU
rnacentral:ncRNA from 1 species